rnacentral:lncRNA from 1 species
UGAAGAACGGGUCGUCGCUGCCGUUCACGCCCAGAUGAAUAGCGUCUGGAAAAUCCCGAACACGUGAAAAGAAGACCGAACCCCACCACCACCGCAUAAAUGAAAGAAAACACACAACAUCACAUACGUUAAGUUGCCGCUAGGGUUUUUUGUGGUGAAAUUCAAUGUGCAAUUUCGAAGGUCGAUUUCGAUUGACGUCACGACGGCCUUCCCAUUGCGCUUCAAAAAUAGCAACGUGUGCGUGUCUGUUCAAAUGAUGACGCAAUCAACGUGAAAUUACCGUCAAGUUUGACUUUGGACGGCCUGUCGGCGAACGAUGACGAUGACGAGCCACCAGUUAACUCGACCAGUCCCAGGUGAGCCAGCGGUUGGGUAAGAUCCGAAUGUUCCAUGACUCUGCGGUUCUCAGCGCAAGUGGAGCUCUUUUCUUUCUGUGCGGAGAUGAGGAGAUGCUCGGAUGAUUCUGCAAAUUGAAGAAUAUCGAAGAUCUACUUGUACUGGACUCGUUUAAAAGACGAUCCGAGGGGGCAUAACUGCUUUUCAACGCAAACUCUUCGACAUUGCACGAAGCGUUGGUUUCGUUUUGGGAUGCAAAUUGAAUUCUCGCGUGCAAUCCAAACUUCGAAUUCCAACUGCAAAAAAUAAGGAAAACAGACGUGUAAUGAACGUAUCCCGUUGUAGACGUUGAGCAAAUGGCUAACGUGUCAAAAGGACGAAAUAAAAAAAAACAACAACAGAAGGCGGCAAUCGAUGAAGUCAAAACGAACAGUUGAGAAAGAGAACUGCAAAGUGAAAGCCGCUUUUGUUUUUCCUUAAUUCGAUUGAUUUUCUUUGUCUAACAUUGGCAUGUCCAUCUCGAAACCAUUUUGGCUCUGUUUUUUUUUUAACACAUUACAGUAAAAAAACGAAGCCAAUUCAACGAUCCAAAUAGAAAAUGUGUACUAACCUUGCCCUGAUUGUGUGUGUCUCUCUAAUUCGACUAACCGAUUUCGUUUGUUGCUAUACGUCCGGUGGUUAAAUCAAUUAAAAAGAGGCGCAAUCAGUUCACAGAUUUAGUCGUAAAUGAAGACGGUAGUGACACAGACGACCAGCUGAUAACACGGCAACCAGCAACGCCACAAUAAUGCAGUACACACACACACACACAGAGACACACGCACGAAAGAGAGAGUCGAACGUGGAACAGGAGCAGACACCACCUUCCAGCUCGACCGAAAUCCUGUCACUGAAUGGCGUAGAACGGGCCACUCGUCUCGAGUCGACACGGUUCUUUUUCUCUCUCUCUCUUUAUUCACCUCCAUCAUCCGCGUUUCUCUCAUUCUCCUUCUUUUCUUUCGAUUUUUAAGACACAUGUAGAGAUCCGUACGUUGCAGGCAUUACGUAGUACAUUCGGCGACAAGCCAAAAUCUCUAGAGGUGCCUCGUAAUCUUUCGGGUUUACCUGUCUGCAAAACAGAGAAAAACAAAACCGGUGAGACGAGACUGCAGGGAAUAUAAUCAACGACAUCCCAAGCGUCAAGCCUAAUCCGAUGCGCUUUCAUUCGAUCCAGUUCUCAUUAAAAACAGAGGAGGGAAAGAGAUUUUUGAAUUGUUCACAACGAUGUAAAAAUGCAGUUGUGGUCGAGUUUACAAGAAAUGAAUGGAACAAAAGCGUAGGCCUAAAUGCGAGAGAAACAAAAAUGGCCGUCGUGAAUGCGAAAAGCGAGACGCAGAGUGAAACGAAAUAGUAAGAACCACGAAAUGAGUGUAGAUAAAUAAAAGGAACUUUCACUCUUUCGGAUUAUUAUCGUUGUGUAUGUUACAUAGUUUUUUUUUUUCUGGCCAUGCGUAAAAAUUGGGCAAAUAUACGAAUGAUUUCAACUGUUUUAUGCGACAUUUCUCUCUCUUUCUUACUAAACUGCACACCCAACGCGCCGACCAUUCGCGUAGCUGUUAGAAAACAAACGUCAUAAUGAUUACAGGUGUAACACAAAAUCAUCGCAGAUGACCUGAAUCAGCUAACACAGUUGUUACCCCUGUGACCCACAUAUUUCGAUAGAUUUAAGGGGAAGUGUCGUUGAACAGGAUGUUGGAUUCGUCAUAAUUGCAAACGAGUUUUGCUAUCUGUUAAAACUGUAGCAUAAAUAGCGCAAUUUGGGGCGAGGUUGUUCACUUUCACACCCACACCAUCGUGUGUCCAUCAACGUGUACUCGACAUAUGCGUCCAGCUCACCGUAACUCCGACUUCAAUUAUUCAGCUGUUCCAGUCGUUCCCACAAUUACCCCCCACGCGACGAAAAUUGGAAGAAUAUUAACUAUAAUCCUUAUUGUAAACGGGUAUACAUUUUAAAUCCUUCAAGGUGAUCAUCAUUCUCCUUUUUUUAAAAUCUUUAUCUCCUCCAGAUGUUGUUCAAGUACACCCCUCCGUUUGCCUCCUUCUUUUCAUUCAAUUCUCUUCUUAGCGUUUCGUGUCCUAUUUAAAGCCCCCAAUUUUUUAUUUCAUAAAUUUCGUGUAUUACACACCAUGUUAAUGGAAGUUUUCACUUUCUUGAGGGUCGCGAUGAGACGGUUAGCCAACAUCUUUUAGGUCACGUCUUUAAACAUUUUUCAAAAAUAAUAGGAGAGCCUCAUAUGGUACGUUACUGGUUACGGACUUCUCCGGCAGAAGUGAAAUCCGGUUCAGUGCUAGUGGUUUGCUUACGUCAUUUAACAGUUUUUUUUUUUUUUUUUCUCUUUCAAAAAAUUGCAAGUUUUUUGUUGUUUUUCUUAUGUGGACUGCAGGAGUUGUGCGGUAUAUCGAUCAAGGCCGGUGCGCUCCUAUGUGGAACAGUUGAAAGCAGCAACAGGAACCAGCGCGAUUAUUUCUGUUUGUAGAAUGAAACCAGAGAGCGCAAGUGAAAUGUUUUCCAACCACGUAUACGCGUGUUUGGCUUUUCAUGUUUGUGUACAUUUUUCUAGCUAACUCCCGCAUCCGUCCGUUCAGACAGGCUGGCCCAGCGUAGAUAAGACUGGAGCAAAGGGCGAUGCUCCUUAUUUUCAAAAACAACAAGACGCGCACUUUCAAAUUCAAAAUAUCUGCAAUUCAUUUGGCUGUUGCGCCGCUGCCCGUCAUUCGAAACUGGUCAGCGUCCCCAACAGCUCAAGCAAAUGGAUGGAAAAUACUCUCUAAACGGAUGUUUAGACCUGUUCAUCGUUCCGUUUCAAGCCUUUUGAAUGGAGUCCCUCCUUAAAAAUGGGGAACUCAAGGUGGUCCGGUGAAGGGGGACUGACGAGGAACACUCUUUCAAAACAUUCGACAAGAGGAUCAAGAAACUUGUUUUUUUUUUUUAAACCCAGGUCAGGUUUGUCCAGAUUCCCUUCUCUUUGGUCCGUCCUUGGCCGACAGCUGGAAUGCUACUUUGUAUUUAUUUGAAAAAAAAUAGUAGGGAGGAAAUGGGAUACAUAAAAAAGUGUAACA